UGUUCUGUGACUUGGUUGGUUAAAGCGCCGGUCUAGCGAAUAUUGUUUGUUUGAAUCGUGGGAUCAAAUCCCACCAGAACAC
rnacentral:tRNA from 1 species